GAUGAACGCUGGCGGCGUGCCUAAUACAUGCAAGUCGAGCGACCAGACGAGGAGCUUGCUCCUUUGACGUUAGCGGCGGACGGGUGAGUAACACGUGGGUAACCUACCUAUAAGACUGGGAUAACUUCGGGAAACCGGAGCUAAUACCGGAUAAUAUUUCGACCCGCAUGGUUCGAUAGUGAAAGAUGGCUUUGCUAUCACUUAUAGAUGGACCUGCGCCGUAUUAGCUAGUUGGUAAGGUAACGGCUUACCAAGGCAACGAUACGUAGCCGACCUGAGAGGGUGAUCGGCCACACUGGAACUGAGACACGGUCCAGACUCCUACGGGAGGCAGCAGUAGGGAAUCUUCCGCAAUGGGCGAAAGCCUGACGGAGCAACGCCGCGUGAGUGAUGAAGGUCUUCGGAUCGUAAAACUCUGUUAUUAGGGAAGAACAAACGUGUAAGUAACUGUGCACGUCUUGACGGUACCUAAUCAGAAAGCCACGGCUAACUACGUG
rnacentral:rRNA from 1 species